CUGGAAACAUUCACCAUUUUUCCACCAUUCUCCCUCGUUUUCUCUGGCACACUGUCUCCCUCUCAUCCCUCUUUUCUUCCCCCUUUUUCUCCUUGUUUUCUUCUUCAACGGAGGAAGCUAUGCAUUUUACACCUAAUUUGGAUCAAAGACCAACAAGUCUUUCUUCUUGUUCCUCUAACCAAAGAUAGCUCUCUUUUUCACAAAAAUCCCAAAUCAAGGUAAUAGAUUUCUGGGUUUCUGGAGAAGAGCAUUGUGGAUUUCUGGCGGUCUUUCGUUUUUUGCCUAUAGAUUUUUGAAGAAGUGCACAGCAACCCAAGCUUAUUGGAAGCUUAACUAAAUGAAUUCAUCUUUGAAGCAAAGAGGGGGUUGGAUUUGCGGGAUGAAAUGGGCAGAGCUGUUUCAGAUUUGGUGACUAGAGAAGAGGGCGGAAGGCAUGAUUUGGUAACUGGGUUCGUGGGAAGAAGGAGAUCCGGGAUGCAUGCUUGCAGACGACGUGGGUGCUAGAGACGGGAUUAGCAAUCCGCCAGUUUUCUAAGGGACCAUCUAAGAACAGCUAGUGAAGCUUUUAGUCGGUGCGAGUCCGACUUAGUCUCAUUAAAGGCAGUCUUUGUUUGCACCAAACACGGGCUAGGACUCCUACCUAAGGCAGUCCAGUCUAGUGAGACUUAAAGAGGCCAAACAAACGUGCCCUAAUAGGUCUCGUAGAGAAAAACAAACUUUUUUUUUUAUGGAUGGUGAUUUUGAAGUUUUGAAUCCUCAAACUAAGCGGUUGAUGCAAUCCAAGAUCAAGAGGAAGCUAAAGGACUCGCCAACGCUCGUGAAAACCUGGGUUUGGGAAGCUCGAUCAACCCUUGCUCUAAUAAAGAUGAGAUCUUAUGUGUUUUCAUGCCCCUUCGAUAAAUGGACAACUUCCUUGGAGAACUGGCCAUUCAAGAAGGAGAUUUUGGAAUUGCAAAACAAGAAACUCACGCCCAGUAGAGCUAUAUGCGUUCAGAGUUGUGGCUAGCAGUCAGACUCUAUUAUGGAUUCUGGACCACAUUCUCCAUAGAGCCCUCUUAUCUCUUCCUUGUGGAUAAUUGUAAUGUAUAAAUUCAUUGUAUUUGUUAAUAAAAUAAGAUAAAAUAAAAUAAAA